rnacentral:rRNA from 1 species
CAGUAGCCACGGUAACACGAAGGGGGCUAGCGUUGCUCGGAAUGACUGGGCGUAAAGGGCGCGUAGGCGGAUCACGCAGUCAGAUGUGAAAUUCCUGGGCUUAACCUGGGGGCUGCAUUUGAGACGCGUGGUCUAGAGUGUGAAAGAGGGUCGUGGAAUUCCCAGUGUAGAGGUGAAAUUCGUAGAUAUUGGGAAGAACACCGGUGGCGAAGGCGGCGACCUGGUUCAUAACUGACGCUGAGGCGCGAAAGCGUGGGGAGCAAACAGGAUUAGAUACCCCGGUAGUCCCUGUCUCUUAUAA